UACGGAGGGGGCUAGCGUUGUUCGGAAUUACUGGGCGUAAAGCGCACGUAGGCGGCUUUGUACGUUAGAGGUGAAAGCCCGGGGCUCAACUCCGGAAUUGCCUUUAAGACUGCAUCGCUAGAAUUGUGGAGAGGUAAGUGGAAUUCCGAGUGUAGAGGUGAAAUUCGUAGAUAUUCGCAAGAACACCAGUGGCGAAGGCGGCUCACUGGCCCGAUACUGACGCUGAGGUGCGAAAGCGUGGGGAGCAAACAGG
rnacentral:rRNA from 1 species